rnacentral:lncRNA from 1 species
GAUUGUCCUCCAGGAGCUUGGCCCAAUGGUUAGUUGUGGAUUUCUGCAUCUGCUUCCAUCUGUUUCUGGAAGAGAUUUCUAGCUUCUCUGGAGUUGUGGAUUGUAGGCUGGGUAUCUUUUGCUUUGUGUCUGGAAUCCACUUAUGAAUUGCUGAACAAAUGGACUGAGAGCAGAAAAGCACACCAGCAAGAACUGCAUAGCUCCCGGUUUCCUUCUUGAUCCCACUGACGUGUCUGGCACAGUCCUCACACUGUGGAUGCUGGCUCGGUGUCACCAGUACUGACUCUGCCUACUUUCUUCUGGACAAACAAGGAGAAAAUAGAAGGGAAGAAUGGAGAUUCAAAUCACUCAUGUGAGAGUGUCUUGGAAUCAUGCUGCUGGGGAUGAGAUGAGUUCUGAAAAGGGAUGGCACAGAUGCAAUGGAAGGAAUGGGGGGGUGGAGUUCAAAAAUUAAAUGGAGAUGACCAUGUAUGGAGGUUCACGCCCAACAUACCCGUCUUGACAAACUCAAGAUAGGCUUGGAUUAUGUAAUGAAAC